GAAUAUAGGUCUAAACACCUUGAAGGCACCAGAUCCCCUUUGAUCUUGGAUGCUAAGCGGGGUAAGUCCUGGUUAGUACUUAAUUGGGAGACCAUCGAUGAAUAGCUGGUGCUGUAGGCU
rnacentral:rRNA from 1 species